rnacentral:rRNA from 1 species
GACGAACGCUGGCGGCGUGCCUAACACAUGCAAGUCGAACGGAGUUAUUUGAAAUGAUUCUUUCGGGAUGAUUUUCAAGUAACUUAGUGGCGGACGGGUGAGUAACGCGUGAGUAACCUGCCUCCGAGUGGGGAAUAACAGUCUGAAAAGACUGCUAAUACCGCAUAACAUAGCGAAAUCGCAUGGUUUUGCUAUCAAAGAUUUAUCGCUUGGAGAUGGACUCGCGUCCGAUUAGUUAGUUGGUGAGGUAACGGCUCACCAAGACCACGAUCGGUAGCCGGACUGAGAGGUUGAACGGCCACAUUGGGACUGAGACACGGCCCAG